rnacentral:lncRNA from 1 species
CGUAAGCCUGAACAUGUUUCCUAUUUUGUUACUUUUAACAAAAACAUAAAGUUCAAAUUUGCCUUAUAAUAUAAAGUCAAACUGUAAUCAAUUUGCUUUUCCCGGGUGGAACAGAACGUGUGGAGUUUCUCGACGCAAGCAACUUACUUUUUGCAUUACAAAAUUCACCUCAAUAAACUGGUCGGACCAUUAGAGAGCGCAAAAAUGAUAAAUAAUGCGAUAUUUCUUAUGAGUAUGGGAUCAAAUGACUUUCUUCAAAAUUACUUAGUCGAUUUUACUCGACAAAAGCAAUUCACUGUUGAACAAUACAUCGACUUUCUCUCCUCCCGAAUGCUUGACGACGCCAAGGUACGCAUACAUCUCCAUUAAACCUCUUAAAUGUAUCUAUGGAUAUAUUACUGUGUAUAUAUGAGAGCGAUAUUUGACGACAUGUUAAUGUUACAUGUAUUAAUUUAGAUACUCCCUCUAUUUCUAAAUGAUGCAUGUUUACGUAAUAUAUACAUUAAUAUAUUUAUAUAUUAAUACAUUUCGUCAAUAUUUAUAGUUUUAUACAUGUUAAUUCUUGGGCCUUUUGUAACAACUAUAUAUUACACUACGGCUUGAACUAUCAACUAUCUCAAAUAGAACGUCUCUGUGUAGCUGCUACGAUAAAUGCGUAUAGAAUUAUUGAAUUUAUUAAAUCGACAAAUAUCUUGUGUAUGUGUCAUGUGUAUGGGUCCUGAUAAUGAAUUACGUGAAAAGUCAUAAAUUACAACAAAAAUAGAGGGAGAAAGAGACACGGAGUCUAAGAAAAUAAUACCUCCAAGAAUCAUAUCCGGUUGUUGACAAAAUUUAAUUUCCAUAAAUAAUUUCUACCCUACAACGACAUGAAUUUCCGAUUUUCAUGUCCGGAUUUUUAACCUGUCCAAGGGUACAAUUCAUAUCCACAAUUAUAUAAAAUUAUUAUUUUUUGUUAGUUGUAAAUUUAUUUUUGCAUUUAUUUUCUUUUUUUUUUUUUUGAUCAAAUUAUUCUUCAUUACUCCAACUAUUACAUAUCAAAAAUAUAUAUACCUCUAUAUAUAUGAAGAUUCUCAACACAGACCACAUGACAUAUUCACCUUCUCUCCAAAAGAACUUUCUAACCAAAAGAAAAGUCCUUCGAUCAGUCUCCUGUGUAUUAAAAUGUUGUUUGCUAUGUUUAUGUUUCUUUUCGCCGCAAUGGCUUUGCAGUCGCCAUCUUUGGUCGUGGCUUUGGACGUCCACCUCCUCCGCCAGCUAGCUGCAAAGCACAAUGUAACAACAAUAGUUGUGUUUGGAGAUUCUAGUGUUGAUCCAGGAAACAAUAAUUUUCUUAACACCGAUUUGAAAGGAAAUUUUCCACCUUAUGGUGGCAAUUUCGUGAACCAUAAAUCCACCGGAAGAUUAUGUGAUGGAUUGCUCGCACCUGAUUUUAUUGGUAUGUUUGACAUUAUAGUUUUUAUUAGUCUUAAAUUUUCUAUAAGUUCACUAAAGAUAUUGUUUUUAAUUAUGAAUUAUGUUCACAUCAAAACUUAUGUAUUUGGUAGCUUUACAUUAGUCCCUAGAUAUUAAUCUUAAGACUUUUAUAUGCUAAAUAAUUUUAUAGUUUAUUAUGAAACUAGUUUCACAUCAAACUUACAUUUUUGGUUUGCAUUUUCUUCAGCUGAGGCCAUGGGUUACCCACCUAUACCAGCUUUUCUUGAUCCAACCCUUACGCAAGUUGAUCUACCUCGCGGUGCAAGUUUUGCCUCGGCUGGUUCCGGUUAUGACGAUCUCACAGCUAAUAUAUCCGUAAGCCUGAACAUGUUUCCUAUUUUGUUACUUUUAACAAAAACAUAAAGUUCAAAUUUGCCUUAUAAUAUAAAGUCAAACUGUAAUCAAUUUGCUUUUCCCGGGUGGAACAGAACGUGUGGAGUUUCUCGACGCAAGCAACUUACUUUUUGCAUUACAAAAUUCACCUCAAUAAACUGGUCGGACCAUUAGAGAGCGCAAAAAUGAUAAAUAAUGCGAUAUUUCUUAUGAGUAUGGGAUCAAAUGACUUUCUUCAAAAUUACUUAGUCGAUUUUACUCGACAAAAGCAAUUCACUGUUGAACAAUACAUCGACUUU